rnacentral:lncRNA from 1 species
AGGGGAGUUUUUUGGUCGUCAAACAGUGGAACGUCACACCCAAUGCAUCGCUGAAGUGGUAAAAUCUCUACCUUUUUUAUUUUCAACAGACUUCCGUUGUAUGAAUAACGUCCUGUUUAAUUUUAAAAUUUUACAUGAGCAGUGCAAUUUCUGACCUUAAUUUUCUAUUUUCACAAGUUAAUUUAUCAGUACGUGUAGUCCAUCUCGAGUUAAGUUUUUAUAAUUAUUUUGUAACUUGGCUUUUCAUUUUCUUCCGAACACUUGAUCUUCAUAUGAGUAAUAAAAUUAUCACGUUCGAUAAUUUUUAUUAUCGUAUAGUCCGUGUCCCAACUAUUGAUUCGGAGAAAGAUUGAUUUUAUUUUAUUUUUCAGCAUAUAUAUCAUCAAAAAGAUCCUAACAUAUAUAUGCUAUAGCUGGUGAGAAGCUCAUAAGAUACACCAUAUAGGAGAACACGAUAGAUUUAUAUGCCUGAAUAUGGGGGUUCACUUUGUACUCUUCAUCAAGUAGUUUCACCUUGAAAUUACUAUACUAUAGUUGGUAAAGCACCUAUUAGAAGAAGAAACAGAGAGAACAUAGUGCAAAUUGGGAAUUUGGGAUAGACUUGGACUAGGAAACAUGAAUCAAUUUAUACCAGCAACUCGGGAACUAUUUCAAAUGCUAAUAUUGCCAAACUAGACUUCCAUCAGAGUGCACUAUGAUAUGGCAUUUAUGAGGUUUGUUCUUUUCAGAAAAUAUGAUUAGUGAAUAAAUAGUAAAGAAAGUUCUAAUUUGUUAUAUGUAGCUUGGGCACUACAUAUGAAAGAAAGUAAUUUAGUUAUCAUCGUUAACGUGAUUUUUUUGAAACAUAUUGACAUGAUUAUAUCAUUUCAUUUUUAUGGUAUCUAAAUGUGCCUACUAACAGAUCUCCUUGAAUUUCUUUUGUAUGUAGCAACCAAUUUGUCUAAUGUGUACGUAAAAGAUAAUAAUGUGCCUUCUUAUGGAAUAAUACAAAAGAGCGGCACUUGGAAACGACCAAUUUUAUUCUCUUUUGAUUUUGUAUAGGAUUAUUUUCGCUCCCUCCUUUGGCUGCAUUCUAGGACAUGAGAGUUUCUUGCUGCAUUCUGAGGACAUAUAAUUUUCUAGAGGAAAUGAUGCUAGCCAAGAGGAGCUCGAAUACAUUUUAUUUUUG